CCAUGUGGUUGCUGGGAACUGAACUUAGGAUCUCUGGAAGAGCAGCCAGUGUUUGUAACCUCUGAGCCAUCUUUCCAGCCUUCAUUCAUUUUUCUUGGGUGUUUGUGUGUGUGGUAGGGGAGAGGUGAAGAAGGGUUUUAUGUAGGCCUGACUGUCCUGAAAUUUAUAUGUACCAAGAUGACUUUAAACCUAUAUAGACUACCUGCUGCUGAGUGCUGAUAUUAAGGGUGUGUACCACCAUGCCUAGCACAACAUUUCAUUUCUUAACUUUGGCUGAGUUUCUACAAUAAUGAACACCCAUCCACACAUACCCUUGUAGUAGUAGUAUCAAACUCAAGGCCUAAAUUAAAUAUGCAAAAAAGGUGUGUAUGGGGGGGUCAUUAAGUGAUUAUGGUGAGAAAAUUGCUUUCAGCAAUAGUGAUUUAAGAAACACUAUUUCCUGAAAAUCACGCUCAAAUUAACUUGGAGGAAAGAUGUUACUGGAUUCACCCCUCCACACCCACCAAGACUUUCUAUUAGGUAGUGAGAAGUGAUAGGCGGAUCUCUGUGAGUAGAAGCCUGGUCUACAGAGCAGGUUCCAGGACAGCCAAGGUACAGAGAAACACUGUCUUAAAAAACAAAACAUAAUUAAAACACAAUCCAAUUUCAUGUUUGUGUUAGUUCUGCUAUUUUCUUAAAAUUAUACAAACAUUUUCUUAUACUUACUUGGAAGUCUUGAAAAAACAUUAACAAAACUGAUGUAAUUUUGGACUUUAGCUGUAUCUUAGUUGGUAAAGUGAUUGCCUAGCAUACACAAAGCCCUGAUUCAGUCCGAAGGACUGCAUAAAACUGGGUAAGAUGGUACAUGCCUAUGAUCCUGUUCAAGGCUAUCCUGCACAAUAUAAGACCCCCAUUCCAAAAAGCCAGCACCAGCUGGGCAUGACAGUCCUGUCACAGUGCCAAACUGGGCUACAGAGUAAGAGGUUAAAUAAAUAAUUAAAUUAAAAAUCUGACAUCCAGUCCAUUGUUAUAAAACACAGUAACAGGAUACUGAUUAAAUUUUUAGUGUUUUGUAAAGCAUAACAAGUAUGCCACUGAAAUCAUAAAAAUACAAGCAUUCCAGGUCCUUUAAGCUGGGAGCAUUCACUGACCUUAAAUGUCUCUAUAUCUUCUAUCUUUACCACAAACUCAUCACGUUCUCUGUAUUGGCCUUCUCCUCCGCUUUCUAUAUCUUCCUCAUCUGUAAAACCUUCUAUUGCAACUGUGUCCUGUCCUUUUGCAAACUGGUCUGAAGGAAGACUAUCGAGUUCGAUGGCUUUCGGGGGUUCUGUGGAGUUUGCAUUUUCCAGGGUUUUUGCAGCGGAUGAAGUCACAUGAAGGUCUUGUUUUGCACCAGCAGUGGAGGACGUGGGAGCAGCACCAGCGGUCUCAGCAGAUACACCAGGAGCUGUCACAGAAGUAGUAUCCAACGCAGAUAAGGGAGCGGGAGCGGAGAUUUUCUUAUAGAUAUCAUGGCCACACAGGCUAGGAUCUUCCUCAUCAGAAGAAAAGGAAGAUAAGUGUUCUAAAUUUUUAAGCUCAUUGUCAACUUUCUCUGAUGGACUGACCCCUCCAGUCUCAAACGCUAAUGGCACAGGUGCUGCAGGUGACAUCUUUGCAAGUGGUGGGGCACAGAAAGGAUGAGUGACUUGGGUUCCUGAUCGUCUGGUCCUACUAGGCAUUCGAACAGCAAGGGUAGAAAACUGUUGCUUGGGCCCACACUUCAGGAAGUCUAAGAAAGAAGCAAUAAAUCCUGUUUUGACUUCUGGCUGCUUUUCCUCUACUUCUUUGAUCUUCUGCCUCAUUUUUUCUUGAUGCUGGUAACCUUCAUCACAGCUUUCUGAGGAAGAGGGAGUGUACGGUAAAUACAUGUCUGCACCCCUGGGGUUCUGGCGCUUGCCUUGAGCAGACUUUUUCGGGGGUUUCUGACUACUGUCCUCUUCCUCUUUACCUUGUCCUUUUCCUUUAGCUUUUUUCUUUGGAAGGUUAAAGUAUGCUACAUCUUGCUUUUCAUCUUCAGUCUUGCCACUAGCUGCAUCCCCAGGCUGGGCCAUGGCAAGCAGUGCAAGUGUGUUCCUUCGAUGGUUCACCAACAUACUGCUGUCGUCACCUACUAGGGUAAAAUCGCUCUCUGAUGCUACACUCUCUCCACUUAUGCUCUGGCUAGCAGGAACAAACUCUUGAUUUCUGUUAUUACUCAAUGCACUUUCAACAGCAAUUUCACUAUCUUCUUUUGAUUCAUGAUUCAUAGCCAACUGUUUCUUAAACGGGUCAGCACUUUGCUCCUGCGCUUCAUGACCUGGUCCAACCAUGGCUGAAGAUGUUUUUGUGGGUAUAUUUUGACCAGGUGUUUCCAUGUGCUGUUGAUCAAGUACUGUUUUUGACUGAAGGGUGGGUACUGAUGAAAGGUUUACAGUAACCUGAUUUCCACUUAGGGAAAUGUCAUUAAUAUUCUGUGGCUUUCCUACUGUAGCUGUUAUGGAGUUAAAAUCUGAAUUCACAUGCCUGACAUCUAAUGACUGCUGAAAAUGAGAUUUAGAAUCACCACCUUCAACAGCCUGCAUGGUUUCAUUUGAAGUAGACUUGGAAAAGUCAGAAGGUGUAACCCCACAAGCUGCUGCUGUAGCUGCCAAGAUGUCAUCUACAUUUGAUAAAAUAUUUCUUUCAUCACUGAGAAGCAUUGCCUCUGGGAAGCACAUUGAUCCAAGAGAAACAAACUGAUUCUUUGAAUCAUGUUGAUUGGCUUCACUGAAAGGGCCCUUCGUUGUUAGCUGCUGCAAAGGUUUUGAAGGUUCAGAGAGGUCUAGUUUCAUAAUCUCAGAAUUUUGAGGAUGGAGCUGCUGUUGUGGAUGCUCACCAUUGCUCUGAAUGAUGUGACCAUCCAUCUGAAGAAAAGAGUGGACUACCUGUUGGGGGCUCUGAACACGCUGUACUUGUAAAGAUGCCUUUGCUUGUCCUAAGCUUGCCUGUAGAAUCCCAGCCUGCUGAAGAAUCUGUAAGUCACAGGCAGAAUCUAAAAGGACUGGUGUAUUAGGAAGAGUCUGAUGACUAUGCCCCAAAGCAUGAUUUGAAAUCUGUAUCUGAGAUGAGGCACUAAUUAUCUGGUCAUGCUGUUCCUGAACCUUGGUUUCAUGCAUCUUAUGUAUGAGAGAAUGCUGCUGGUUGAGGUCUUUUGUAUUCAACCUUAUCUGUGGCGCUGGCAUUAAAUUCGUUGCCUUCUUAA